rnacentral:lncRNA from 1 species
AAGGUGCCUUGCUUCUCCCUUGCCUUCUGCAAUGAUGGACAUGCACCUUGGACCCUGAGCUGAAAUGAAAGAAGUCUGGUUACACUAAGGCCACCAUGCUGGAGAAAUCACCUGGACAGACCACAUAGAGAUAGAAAUUAAAGCCUGAGGUGCCUCAGAUGUUCCAGCCCCUAGUUGUUUACAUUUCUGAAGCCCUGGCACCAGACAUGUAAGUGAUGAAGGCAUCAAGAUGACUCUAACACUGCAACUUCAUGAGGGACCCUGAGCCAGAACCACCUCACCGAGUUGAUCCUGAAUUCUUGACCCACAGAAACCAUGAGAGAUAAAAGAACAAUGAUUGUAGUUUUAAGCCACUCAUUUUUUAGAUGAUCUGCUACAGAGCAAUGGGUGACUAUCACCUAUUGUAGUAGAAUGAGCUUCCUGGUGAUCAGGAAGUUAAAAAGAAUGGGUAAGACUUUACACACUGUCUUUUAUAGAUUCUCAUGCCCACAAUAUCUGAUCCAAUGUUUCAUAGUUUGAUACAUCUGAUUAUCAGCUCCUCCUCCUGUGGGAGAAGUAAGUAACAGGGUGCAGGUACACAGUUGAAAUACUGUUGUGGAGAGUGGUGGACUCUACUGAAUUAGGUCUUGGGGGCUAUAUAUCAGAAACACUCAAGGUGUGGGAGAACACUAAUAUUCUCUGAGGGGAAACACAAUCAAUUUUCUUUAAGCAUAUGCUGAGUAGCAAGUUUCCAAAACACAGACUCUUUGGGGUAAACAAGAACAAUGGUUUCAGUGAAUUGAGAUAGAAUGAAGAUGACUAGAAAGCAAGCUUUGGGAGAUUGGUACAAGAAUGGUGAUAGGCUUUGAUUCACGAUUUUGCUUUGACCGGCCCCAUUUGUCAUUUAUUUGAAGAAAAUUUGAAGAAACAAUUGUUUUGCAUGGUGUUGAAAUCUCUGUUGAUACAAGCUCCUUUUCUGCAUUCACCAAGUUCUCUGUGCUCACCACCUUUGGGUUUGAUUUGCCAAUGGGAGGACACUUUUAAGCUCUAAGGCAGAAUGUUACCUUUCCAUAUAUUUGCUCCAAAUUUACAUUCUCACAUUUGAGUGAAAAAUAAAAAGAAAAA